rnacentral:rRNA from 1 species
AUGAUUUUUGGUGGCGUGCUAGUAAGAGAUCGGACAGUGGAAACUUUUCAAUGGGUGUUCACUGAAUUUACCCGCAUGAUGGGCGACAAACAUCCAGAAACCGUGCUCACACAUCAAUGCAAGGCGACGGAAGUAGCAAUAGAGAAAGUGAUGCCACACACGACUCACCGUUGGUGCAAGUGGCACGUGCAAUUGGUAAUUUCAUGGGGCUAA